UGGGGAAUAUUGCACAAUGGGCGCAAGCCUGAUGCAGCCAUGCCGCGCGUGUGAAGAAGGCCUUCGGGUUGUAAAGCACUUUCAGCGGGGAGGAAGGCGUUAAGGUUAAUAACCUUGGCGAUUGACGUUACCCGCAGAAGAAGCACCGGCUAACUCCGUGCCAGCAGCCGCGGUAAUACGGAGGGUGCAAGCGUUAAUCGGAAUUACUGGUCGUAAAGCGCACGCAGGCGGUCUGUCAAGUCGGAUGUGAAAUCCCCGGGCUCAACCUGGGACCUGCAUGCGAAACUGGCAGGCUAGAGUCUUGUAGAGGGGGGUAGAAUUCCAGGUGUAGCAGUGAAAUGAGUAGCGAUCUGGAGGAAUACCGGUGGCGAAGGCGGCCCCCUGGACAAAGACUGACGCUCAGGUGCGACAGCGUGGGGAGCAAACAGG
rnacentral:rRNA from 1 species